UGAAAUAAAUGGGGUUGGAUCAACUCAUUGGCCUUUUCUGGCACCCCAGCAACCAGAGACAUGCCUCCCCCAAUGAUUUCAUGUGCAGUGCUGAACACAUGAAUCUUGGAUGCCAUUUCAGAAGGAACCACGAGCCAUUUAUUCUUAGUCUGAAAUUGGCAGCCUUUACGUUCUGGGGAAUUUUUAAUAGGCCUAGCAGAGGAACCAACAUUAGGGAUUAUUUUCUCAGUGUGGGGUUAGAUGUGUAAUGCAUAUGUUUGCCCUGAGGACCCUAAACCACAUACUAUAAAACUUUGUUAAAAUGCCUUUCUCCUCAACUAUUAACAUUUUCCUAUGCAUAUUGCUCAUUUGUAACAGGCCCAGCCAAAAGUUUAUAAAGCUAUGUUCCCCCACAGAACCAUUAUUUUUUGUGCUAAUUAAUUAGCGAAACCAAUAUCUCAGAUAUGAAAUUCCAAGCUCAGUUACUCAGGUUAGCUGAAAAUCUGUUUUUCUAAUUAUUGACUACUUUCUGCUACUUUAAGUCCACCACCUAAGUUCUUGGACCGAGCUCACUUCUGGGAGCUGGGGAGGUCUCCAAUGGCAACACAGUUCCUCACUGAAUAGGGCAGUGGGAGGAAGCGACUGCAGCUGUUGGAGUCACUGAGGAUUUGGGAGGAAGUCAGAAGAAGAAAAAAAAGGAGAGUUACAGGACAGACAUUUGGGGAAAAAAAAAGGCUAAGACCUUUUGACAAAAUUUCAGUGAGGUGUAAUCCUCUAAAGUUACGAAUACACUUAUACUCUUCAAAUCAACACAGGCUUCAAAAGGUAUAUGUCAAGGGAAUAAUGAUUUGGACUCAUCUGGAAAAAAAAUCUGCAUAUAUAUUGUUGUUGUGUUCUUAUGUUCUUGAUUGUUUGGUUUUAUUUCUGAAUUCCUGAAGCUAAAUUUUUAUUUCUAAUUUGAUGGGAAUUUAUGCAGAUUGUUUUCUCGUUACUCCCAGUAUGUACAAUUUACAUUACAUAUCUGAUUGUUUACAUCUGGGGACACACACACACACAUAUAUAUACACAUAUACAUAUGUACACAUAUAAGCAUAUAUAUCUAUAAAUAUACACAUAUACAUAUGGGAGAGAUUUUGAAAUCUGUCGAAUCUAUGUUUCAGUAAUCUGCCCCCAGGGUAGGGAGAUUUGACAUAGCACAAGGAACAGCGAUUUGUGAGAAAUAAACUGUGGCAUAUUUUUACCCCACCAAGCUGAGACAAUUCAAUAAACCCUUCAACUGUCACCUAAACAUCAAACAAAUAAAUACCAACAAGUACACUUCAGAAAAAAAAGGGGUCAAUAUAAAAAAAUAAACAUGAGACUUAUAUGAACAUCUCACAUGUUUAUUAUAUUUCUCUCUCUCCUAUGUUAUUGUAUUUGUGAGCCUGCAUUUCUUUUCUGAUUAUAGUGGUUUUCAGAAGGGUUAGAAGGAACAAGAAGGUCGCUAACGGUCCUUGAGCAUAACCAUGCUGCAGGCAGUGGGCAGUGUGUUCAAUGUGUGUGUCUCAUUGUAACUUUACAACACAUAAAGUUAUAAAAUAAGUAAAAUAUAAGAAUUGUCCUUCCUAGGUGACAGCUGAGAACACGGAAGCUCAGAAGGAAAACCCAGGCUCUUUCUCCUAACAUCUGUUUCUUGGAAAAACAGCUGCACAGCACACAUAUGCAAGCAGAGUUUGCUCUUAAAAUUAAAUUUCUACUUUUAAUUCUUAUUAUGAAUGUUGAUUUCUAACUCCCAAAGACCAGUCUCUGAGUAUAUACAAAAGUAUCAUUGCCAUAAGGCAUUUGUACACUGGUCGGAGGGGAAAACCAUUCCUUGGCAGCAGCCAGCUGUAAGGCAGAGCUUAAAAAUUAAACAGAAGGACUGUCUGGGGCUGUGAGGGGCAAUACAGAAGGGGAAGGAAAGACAUGACACAGUCUGAAUAAGAACAGUCAGGGACCCAAGCCAUGGAGUUGUUUGGCUAAGGGCAUUUUUUCCUGGGAAUCCAUCUCCCACAUCAAUGUUUGGUGCCCUCCGUGGCACACGUUAACUCUCCCCUUGUCAGGCAGGGCCUUGAGCUCCGAGAUUUCCUAAAUUCACCAUAUAACUAUACAACAACCAAUUCUCCAAUAGUCUGAUAGUUGAAUCCAUUGAUAAUAACUAGCAACAAGUUUACAGCAAACUCCUCCUCUGCUCACUCCCAGAUGCUUUCUUUAGCUUUCAACAGAAAUAUGAAAGCUUUAGUUCAGAAAAAUAACUUAAGUGGCAGCCAUUUUAGGUAUCAUGGUAGAAAGUGUUUCCCAAAUUUUAAUUGCUCUGGCACCACCAGUAUAAUUUUGCCAUACUCUAUUACAGAUCUAGUAUUUUUAAUUUUUUUUAUAUUGACCCCUAUUUUUUACUGAUAUCUAUUUGUUCACGUUUGUGUUUUAGGGGAUAGCUAACUGACUUAUUGAGUUGUCUCAGCGUGGUAGGGUGAAAGCAUGCUACAGUUUUGCACAAAUUACUGCCCCUUGUGCUAUGCUAAACCUCCUGAUCCUGUGGACAGAUUACUGAAUCACACUUUGGGCGGAUUUCAAAAUCGCUCAGGCACUUUUGGUUAUUAAAGUUGUAAUUUUCCAUUUUGCAUUUAUUCGUUGUUCUCCAGUUUAAAAGUCUUUUCUAUCCCGUUGAAUCAUACUUAUCUACCUAUUGCAGGCCAAGUUAGUGGUUUUGAGGACUUGAAGACGGGGAGGACAGUGUUGGCUCUUUGACUCUUCUCACUCAUCCUGGAACCUUGGCCCAGGGGUGAGGCUGGGUUCACGAGCUGCUCUGGGAUGCAUCCUCAACGCUCCAUUUUCAAGGCCGACUUCUGCAAACAUCCUCUCAGGGUUGCUGUCUCUGUACUCUGGCUGUUGUGAAUCUCUGUGUACGGGGGCCAAGAAGAUCCAACUCAGUCUCUUCCAAAUCUUUCCAACUCCAGCCCCAUGAAAACACCAUAUGGCUCCCUCCUCCUCCCUCAUUUUUUUAAACACUUCAGUGGUUUUUAGCAUAUUCACUAUGUUGUGCAACCAUCACUACUCUAUAUAUUUGUUUUAAAAUAAAGCCUUAGAUCACAACCAUGCUUUUUUUAAAAAAACAUUAUUUGUAAUUAGAGGGUAAUAGCAGACAAAUAUUACAAUGAAAACAAAACUGUGCUAUUCAGUUCUUGCUAAAUCAUGCUGCCCGUUGAAAGCUUUGGGCUUGAGGGCUGUUCCGUUUGCUAAAGAGAGAAGUCAUCGAAGGUCACAUUGACGUUGAGGAUAUACUAG
rnacentral:lncRNA from 1 species